UACAGAGGGGGCAAGCGUUAUUCGGAAUUAUUGGGCGUAAAGGGCGCGUAGGCGGCUUGGCAAGUGGAAGGUGAAAUCCCUCGGCUUAACCGAGGAACUGCCCUCCAAACUGCUUCGCUUGAGACCGGGAGAGGUGAGUGGAAUUCCCAGUGUAGCGGUGAAAUGCGUAGAUAUUGGGAGGAACACCAGUGGCGAAGGCGGCUCACUGGACCGGUACUGACGCUGAGACGCGAAAGCGUGGGGAGCGAACAGG
rnacentral:rRNA from 1 species